rnacentral:rRNA from 1 species
UAAUACGUAGGGUGCAAGCGUUGUUCGGAAUCACUGGGCGUAAAGGGCGCGUAGGCGGGCUUGCAAGUCGAUUGUGAAAUCCCCGGGCUUAACCUGGGAACUGCAGUCGAAACUGCAAGUCUUGAAUGUCUGAGAGGGUGGGGGAAUUCCUGGUGUAGAAGUGAAAUUCGUAGAUAUCAGGAGGAACACCGGCGGCGUAGGCGCCUACCUGGCAGUACAUUGACGCUGAGGCGCGAAAGCGUGGGGAUCAAACAGGAUUAGAUACCCUGGUAGUCCACGCCUUAAACGAUGGAUACUAGGCGUUCGGAGUGUUAACCCUCUGAGUGCCGCAGCUCACGCAGUAAGUAUCCCGCCUGGGAAGUACGGUCGCAAGGCUAAAACUCAAAGGAAUUGACGGGGGCCCGCACAAGCGGUGGAGUAUGUGGUUCAAUUCGAAGCAACGCGCAGAACCUUACCUGGGCUUGACAUCCUACGAAUGCUGCAGAGAUGUAGCAGUCUAGC